CUGCCUCGGCCGUCCGCAACACAUUCCUGAUUCCUCCGCGCUUCCGCGGUGACAUCGCGCCACUCCCCGGCGGCGCUCCCAUGGCACGAUGCCCCCACCGAGGAUCACCUCGUCCGCGCCCCACCACGAGGUCCUCCGUCUCCUCGAAUCCCAGCAACUCCCCGCCGCGGCGCGCCUCGCGGCCGCACACCCCUCGUCCCCCGUCUCCCUCGCCGCCGUCCUCCUCCGCCACCCGUCACCCCGCCUCGGGUACUGCCUGCACGCCCGCGCCGCGCGCGCGGGACUCCUCGCCGACCGCUACGUCGCCAACGCCCUCCUCGCCUUCUACGUCCGCCUCCCACGGCACCUCCCGUACGCGCUCAGGGCGUUCGACGACCUGCCUCACCGCGAUGUCGUCGCGCACUCCUCCAUACUGGCCGCCUUCCUCCGCGCGGGUCUUCCCCGACGCGCCCUCCAGUCCCUCAGGUCCAUGCUCGCCGGCGCUGACGGCGUCUUUCCUAAUGCCCACGCGCUCUCCGCCGCAGUUAAGGCCUGCGCUGUGCUCCGUGACCGUAAUGUGGGCGCCUGCGUCCACGGGGUCAUCCUUGUCCGGGGAUACGCCGACGACGAUAUCGUGCUGAGCGCGCUGGUGGACAUGUAUGGCCAUACGGCUUCUCCAGGUGACGCACGGAAGGCGUUUGAGGAAAUGUGCACUCCCGACGGGAUAUGCUACACAUCGUUGAUAUCAGCGUUUGUGCGGAAUGAUUGGUUUGAGGAGGCUGUGAGGUGGUUCCGGACUAUGGUGACGAGGAAUGGGGUUGAGCCAGAUGGCUGCACGUUUGGUUCAAUGAUGACAGCGCUGGGGAACUUGAGGAGGGCGAGGCAGGGUAGUGAGGCGCAUGCACAGGUAGUGACUCGUGGUCUGUGUGGGAGUGUGAUCGUGGAGAGCAGCACACUGGACAUGUAUGCCAAGUGCGGGAUGAUGUUGGAGGCACGCAGAGUGUUUGACGAGAUGCAGGUCAGAAAUGCAGUUUCAUGGUCCGCGUUGCUUGGAGGAUAUUGCCAGAAUGCAGAGUACGAGAAGGUUCUUGUGCUGUUCCGGCAGAUGGAUAAGGAAUACGAUGACUCAUAUAGCUUGGGGACUGUUCUGAGGGCAUGUGCUGGUCUAUCUUCUGUGAAGCCAGGAAAAGAGAUCCAUUGCCGGUUUCUGAGGAAUGGAGGCUGGAGAGAUGUGGUUGUCGAGUCUGCACUUGUAGACCUAUAUGCAAAAUGUGGUGCUGUAGACUAUGCAUGUAGAGUUUUUGAAGCGAGUAGUGUUCGUAACACAAUUACUUGGAAUGCCAUGAUUGGCGGCUUCGCUCAGAAUGGCCAUGCUGAGCGAGCUAUCAAUCUGUUCAAUCAGAUGGUCAGGGAAGGAGCCAGGCCUGACUACAUCAGUUUCAUUGGUGUUCUUUUUGCAUGUAGUCACAAUGGAAUGGUUGAGCAAGGAAGGAACUACUUCAACUCUAUGAGCAAGGACUAUGGGAUUGCCCCUGGAAUCGAACACUACAAUUGCAUUGUUGAUCUUCUGAGCAGAGUAGAACUUCUGGAAGAGGCUGAAGAUCUGAUAAACAAGUCACCCUUUAGCAAUGAUUCGUCUUUGUGGGCAGCAAUCCUUGGUGCUUCUGCCACACAGUCUAACCCAGAUGUAGCAGAAAGGGUUGCCAAGAAAAUGAUGGAGUUGGAGCCUCAGUACCACUUGAGCUACAUUCUUCUUGAAAAUGUGUACAGAACAGUUGGACGGUGGGAGGAUGCUUCAGAGAUAAGGAGGUUGAUGAAAUCAAGAAAGCAUAUCAUUAUGUGGAUUCAAGGAGACUUGUUAGACAUGGCAGGCCAAGACGGCAUGACCUGACCCACUAUGGAGACAAUAGUGCGACUGCAAGGCCUGUCCACAAUUAUUGGCUUCUGUGCUGCAAGGGCGGGCAGCAAGGGAAAAACCUCCACGGGGAUAGCAGGAGAUCGAUCAACUCACAAGUGAUAGAGGAGCUCGCGCGUCUGUUGUUAAAGAGCAGGUGAAGGCUGGGCUUCGCAAUGCCGGCUGGCGACGGGAGAGCCAUGUUUGUGGGCGAAGCUUUGGAGGUCGGAAGCAAGAGUCUCCAGUAUUUAGCUUCACCACGAACUUGGGAACAGGAGAGCUAGGAUCACCGGCAGUGACAGGAUGUAGGGAAGACCUGCAACUAAAUAGGAAGAACGGAUUGAUGGAGCCGGAGCAUCUGAACCACAUAUUAUGAGGCCGCGGCCCGAAAUGGAUAUAGCUCGUCUUUUACAUGCUCUCAUCUGGGCCAAUGGCGACGCAAAAUGGUGACGUGAGGCGCCCAAAAAACUUGUGGACCAGCCACAGUUUGUGGCCACGGCUUGGCUCGAUAGGGUUGGGGGAUAAGAACACUAAGAGCAGGGACUGUGCUGCUUGGAGUUUAGCAUGGACUAGGCAUUCUUGUAGUGGUGUACUAUUCUUUGACGAGCCUUUGGAAGAUGUAUGUGGCUAGCCUGCUAGUGCUAGGAGAGGGGAUUCCUUACCCUGAUCAGCUGAUUGCGAUCCGUGUAAUAAUAUCAUAAUAAUAAAUGAUCAAUGAUUUUUUUUCUAGAA